CUUCUUUCACACUGAUUCCAAAAAUAUAUAGUUUCUAUAUACUUUUGUAUUUAGAAUGGGAGAUACAUGGUCACUUCCGGUUUGUUGGAAGUCAUUUUUAGUCUUCAGUAAUCAGUUUAUGUAUCUAUAUGACAAAAUAUAUGGAUUUUGAGUACUUUUAUACGAAAAAAUUGCAAAGAAGGUUACUUCCGGUUUUCUCAAGGUCACUUCCGGUAGUCAUUUUUCAAGGUCAUUUGUCAUCCAACUUUUGCACAAGGUCAAAUGCCAUUAAAAUGGACUUAGUUGAAGUUAUAAUCAAAUAACCUCAUAUCAAGACAUUUCAGGGGCACUAACUCCUAUUAGAUGCUAUUUAAUUGUAUCAGACCAAAUGUAAAAUAUCUUCAUAACUAUAUAGCAAUCAUUUUGCACUUGUUCUUUAAUAUAUACCUUUUCAAGGGUUGGAGAAAAUGCAAAAACAUGGAAAAUUCCGAAUUUAGAACUUGACCUUGACCUUUGACCUUGACCCCAUUUUCUAAUAAAGGGCCUAGGGAUCUCAAAUAAAUACAUUCCAGGGUUAUAUGGUUGACGGUUUAUUAGUUAAUAACACAUAUUGAGAAAAUAAUUUUGUAAAGGUAGAUAACUCCUAUAAAAUUUCAUCGAAUCGCUUCGAUCCAAAUAAGCCAAAUUUUCCUUAGGAUGUAACGAACAAUUUGUAAAAAGAAUUUUGUCGCUAUCUUUUUUUGUUACGAAGGAGAUGCACUCUGAUGAUAAACAGUGAAUAGGGAGAUAACUCUUACAAAGAAAAGUGUUCGGCUUAGCAGGGUGAAAUGUAAAAGCGCAUAAACUGUACGAUACAAUAUGAGAAAUAUCUAAGCGACAUAUUGCGAAACAAACAUUUGUCGCAAUAUCAAAAUUAGGCGGAAGAAAAAAAAAAAAAAAAAAAAAAAAAUAAUAAUCAGAAGAAAUACAAUAGGUCUUUCCACAGAAAGGUGGAAAGACCUAAUAAUAAUCAGAACAAAAACAAUAAGUCUUUCCACAGAAAAGUGGAAAGACUUAAUAAUAAUAAUAAAAAACCAAUUGUUCAGAGAACAAUUGAAGGUCUUUCCACCAGUAAAUAUCUAUUUUGAUAUUAAAAUAUUAAAAAUCAGUCUAAAAUUUCAGUUCCUAUGGC
rnacentral:lncRNA from 1 species